UACGUAGGUGGCAAGCGUUGUCCGGAUUUACUGGGUGUAAAGGGCGUGCAGCCGGGCUGACAAGUCAGAUGUGAAAUCCCGCGGCUCAACCGCGGAACUGCAUUUGAAACUGUCAGUCUUGAGUACCGGAGAGGUCAUCGGAAUUCCUUGUGUAGCGGUGAAAUGCGUAGAUAUAAGGAAGAACACCAGUGGCGAAGGCGGAUGACUGGACGGCAACUGGCGGUGAGGCGCGAAAGCGUGGGGAGCAAACAGG
rnacentral:rRNA from 1 species